GGUACUUUUGUGCAUUUGGUUGGCUGGUGAAGAAAGGCAUGGAGAAUGGGUGCAAAUGCAAACCCUCCUUUGCAGCCCAGAACUCAACGUUCAGUAUGAGUUAAGAUAUAUACAAAGGGAUAUG